UUAUAAUAAUAAUAAUAAUAAUAAUAAUAAUAAUAAUAAUAAUAAUUUCAAACUCAUUUAAAUACUGACCUAUGACAGUAUUGAAAUGUGUGUGUAUAUAUAUAUAUAUAUAUAUAUAUAUAUAUAUAUAUUUUUUUUUUUUUGAAACACACACACACACACAUAGCCUAUAUUAGGGGUGUAUUGAUUCAUCGAUAUGGAUCGAUGCAUCGAUAGCACCUAAAAAAACCCACCUAAAUAACCUUGUAACAUCAAAAACGAUUAAUCUAUAUUUAGUUUUUAAACAGUGAUGUCUAUGCAGUUAUUUACGUUUGAUAUAUUAGGGAUGUAUUGAUUCAUCGAUAUGGAUCGAUUCAUCGAUAGCACACGUACAAUAUAGAUAUCUGUUAUAUAAAUAGGCAGCUUAUUUGGCACUGUCUACAUUUUUCACAUAAUGUCCGUCAACGGCUGCAUUCUCGUUCAAACUCACCGAUUAGGACUCGGUAUAAGGCACAAGGUGAGCAUAUAAGACGCUCGGGAUUGUUCGCGGAACAGUCGAGCGCUGUGUGUUUCACCGCACACAUCUGAAGCGCGUGCAUGCACACAGACAGCCGCACGCGCGAAUACUAAACUGAGCUAUCUUCCGCUUUUUGUGCAUGGAUCAAUAAAUACAUAAUUACAUCUAAAUGCGCGUUUUUGGGGAAUAUCCUAGUAAACACAGUCGGUUAGGCAUAUGUCUUAACGUUAACAGUUCAGAAAUAAAAGGCAUCGCUCGAAUGUUCCGCGAACAAUCCCGAGCGUUUUAUAUGCUCACCUUGUGCCUUAUACCGAGUCCUAAUCGGUGAGUUUGAACGAGAAUGCAGCCGUUGACGGACAUUAUGUGAAAAAUGUAGACAGUGCCAAAUAAGCUGCCUAUUUAUAUAACAGAUAUCUAUAUUGUACGUGUGCUAUCGAUGCAUCGAUCCAUAUCGAUGAAUCAAUAAACCCCUAAUAUAUCAAACGUAAAUAACUGCAUAGACAUCACUGUUUAAAACUAAAUAUAGAUUAAUCGUUUUUGAUGUUAAAAAGGUUAUUUAGGUGGG
ensembl:lncRNA